UCUCAAUCCUCUACCUACAUCAUCCUACUAUGAUUCUUUUGCCUUCAUCUCUUCACGGCCACAGAAUUUGUACAUUUAUUAUCAAAUCGCGUCUAGGUCGCGAUACUCGCCUAUGCCUAUAUCGUCUGAACUAUGUCAUUUCUGGGUUCGAUUUUUGAAAUCAAGCUUGAUUUGAGGUUGAAAUCUGCCUAGAUUGAAGCUACUGAUCUCAUUCAAGGCAAAUAAAUGAUGACUUAGAGGCAUUUGAGAGCAGAUAAUAACCCAAAAGCAAGCAUGUAGACGACGAAGAAUGAAGGUCGUUCAUCUCACAGAUUAGGAAAUCCAACGGGGAAAUAUUUGCAGUGGAGAGGCAGCUUUUGUGAGGGUUAGCAGAUCUAGAAAGGAACGGGAAAGUAUUUGUAGUGGAGGGAAUGCUUUUGUGAUGUUUAGCAAAUCUGGAAAG